CGCUCCCGAGCGUCCAUAGCGGCGGAGCGGUUUGGCACCUCGAUGUCGGCUCAUCACAUCCUGGGGCUGAAGGCGGUCCCAAGGGUUGGGCUGUUCGCCCAUUAAAGUGGUACGCGAGCUGGGUUCAGACCGGCGUGAGCCAGGUCGGUCCCUAUCUGCUGUGGGCGUCGCAAUAUUGACAGGAUUUCUCCCUAGUACGAGAGGAUUGGGAGGGACUCACCCCUGGUGUGCCAGUUGGACCGCUCGGUCCACGGCUGGGUAGCUAAGUGAGGCAGGGAUAACCGCUGAAAGCAUCUAAGCGGGAAGCCCCCCUGGAGAUGAGUAUUGCAUGUCUUUGACGUGAGACCCCUGGUAGACCACCAGGUUGAUAGGCUGCAUGUGUAAGGGCCGAAAUGCCUUGAGCUAAGCAGUACUAACGGUCGAUGAUCUGAUCCG
rnacentral:rRNA from 1 species